GUCGAACGAUGAAGCCCUUCGGGGUGGAUUAGUGGCGAACGGGUGAGUAACACGUGGGCAAUCUGCCCUUCACUCUGGGACAAGCCCUGGAAACGGGGUCUAAUACCGGAUACCACUCCUGCCUGCAUGGGCGGGGGUUGAAAGCUCCGGCGGUGAAGGAUGAGCCCGCGGCCUAUCAGCUUGUUGGUGGGGUAAUGGCCCACCAAGGCGACGACGGGUAGCCGGCCUGAGAGGGCGACCGGCCACACUGGGACUGAGACACGGCCCAGACUCCUACGGGAGGCAGCAGUGGGGAAUAUUGCACAAUGGGCGAAAGCCUGAUGCAGCGACGCCGCGUGAGGGAUGACGGCCUUCGGGUUGUAAACCUCUUUCAGCAGGGAAGAAGCGAAAGUGACGGUACCUGCAGAAGAAGCGCCGGCUAACUACGUGCCAGCAGCCGCGGUAAUACGUAGGGCGCAAGCGUUGUCCGGAAUUAUUGGGCGUAAAGAGCUCGUAGGCGGCUUGUCACGUCGGAUGUGAAAGCCCGAGGCUUAACCUCGGGUCUGCAUUCGAUACGGGCUAGCUAGAGUGUGGUAGGGGAGAUCGGAAUUCCUGGUGUAGCGGUGAAAUGCGCAGAUAUCAGGAGGAACACCGGUGGCGAAGGCGGAUCUCUGGGCCAUUACUGACGCUGAGGAGCGAAAGCGUGGGGAGCGAACAGGAUUAGAUACCCUGGUAGUCCACGCCGUAAACGUUGGGAACUAGGUGUUGGCGACAUUCCACGUCGUCGGUGCC
rnacentral:rRNA from 1 species